CCUAACACGUCAUCAAAGAGAUUAAUCAAAAGGGAAUGUGUUUACUAGAUUGCAAGUAUUCAAUGGGGAUCAAUCAAUUUAUACGUUUCGUUCGAUCUUUCCACUCGAACUCAUCGGAAAGUCGGUCACCAUGUAAUCACUGUCGUCUGCUGUUAAUUGAAAAGGGCAGCCAAUCAGACGAAAAAUAGCGUCACCCAAGAGUUGGUCACAUCCUCCUAAUCACAUUACGGCUAACUCAAGAUGAAGGAUACUGACGCUAUUUGUCGUGUCAUUAAUUACUCAGACGAUUGAAAGAGAUGAAAAAUAAAAUGCUCGCCAACGGUGCAAUUUCGAUGACAUUUAAAACUCGUCAAUCAUCCACUCAAUUUUGUUGGCGACAGCAUUUACAGCGAUGCCAUUGAAAUAUGAAUAAGCGAAAUUUCGUUUUCUUUGAUUCCUGAUUUUUUUGUAGUCUGCUGUAAGCGAUAGCAUGGCGGAGUCGACGGCAAACAACUCUCGGAAUCCAGUCAAUGCAAAACAUCUAUUCUAUUCUUGAUCGUCUAAUUUGGUCGAGUGCUUUCAAGUGGCUGUAGCAAGUGGGGGAGCUAGAUAAAUUUCGACAGCAUGCUUCAAUGGCUGCCACCUACUUCGUCAAGGCCAUUGGAUCCUAGCAGACAGUCAUCUCAUCAAAUCUACCUAAAGUCAGUUCAUUGUUGAGUUCACUAGCUCGCAGUAAUGAGCGAGAAGAAUACGAUUCCAUUUUCGUGAACAAACUAGUGGAAAAGAUAUGGAACAGUAAAACUUAGU